rnacentral:rRNA from 1 species
GCCAGACUCCUACGGGAGGCAGCAGUGGGGAAUAUUGCACAAUGGGCGAAAGCCUGAUGCAGCGACGCCGCGUGAGUGAAGAAGUAUUUCGGUAUGUAAAGCUCUCUCAGCAGGGAAGAAAAUGACGGUACCUGACUAAGAAGCCCCGGCUAACUACGUGCCAGCAGCCGCGGUAAUACGUAGGGGGCAAGCGUUAUCCGGAAUUACUGGGUGUAAAGGGAGCGCAGACGGUGAAGUAAGUCUGGAGUGAAAGGCGGGGGCCCAACCCCCGGACUGCUCUGGAAACUAUUUGACUGGAGUGCAGGAGAGGUAAGCGGAAUUCCUAGUGUAGCGGUGAAAUGCGUAGAUAUUAGGAGGAACACCAGUGGCGAAGGCGGCUUACUGGACUGUAACUGACGUUGAGGCUCGAAAGCGUGGGGAGCAAACAGGAUUAGAUACCCUGGUAUC